rnacentral:misc_RNA from 1 species
UUAAGUUCAGCGGGUAGUCCUACCUGAUCCGAGGUCAACUUUUGGGGGUAGCGCCAUCGGCGCUAUGGGGCGGGAGGCAGAACCGCGCCACGGCCGCCGGAGCGUUCGAGUCAGACUACUGCGCUCAGGGCCGCGGCGGAUCGCCGCUAGAUUUGGGGGCCUGCGGGAGGGCCGCAGCGCCCCGACGCCAGACGCGAGGC